rnacentral:lncRNA from 1 species
GCUAUCUAGGGCACUGUUUACCCUUUGUCCUCUUCCGAAAACCCUAUUUUCCACUCUCAAAUCUUCUCCAAUCAUCUCCAAACAAUAGAUUACUUCAAUAUCUUGGAGAAAUGGGACCCAAGAGAGCCGUAGCCAAGCGAUCCGGGAGAGUCUCACGAUCUUGUUUAGAGCCUAGGAUAUGUAUCUAGUUCUCAUAUGUAUUUUGUGUUGAUCAUGUAUUUUGAACCUUGAUUGAGGAACAUUGUAUUUGCUUUUGUUUUUGGCAUGAUUGUACUAAAAUGUUCCUAUUUUGAUCAAUAAAGUUUGAAUGUUUGUUAUUGUGUCCUUUUCCAUGUACCUAUUUGAUGAUAACAAAAAGGGGGAGAAGUAAAGAAAGAGUAAUAGGGGAGAAGUAAAGAUAGAGUAAAUAGAGUAACAAAAAGGGGGAGAAGUAAAGAAAGAGUAAUAGGAAAGAAGUAAAGAUAGAGUAAUAAGAGGAGAAGUAAAGAAAGAAAGAGAAAUAAUUUGUAAAACAAAUUGAAAAUCAUAUAGGAAAGCAUUUACAUCCAAGGGGGAGCAAUUUGCAACAAUGAAAAUGAUCAAGUCAAAAAUUUAUAUCAAAUUUCAGAAUUUGGCACAUAUAAUUUCAGAAUUUGGCACGCACCUUUCACACCUCGAUACAUAACCUGAAACUCAUGUUUUAUCUCAAAUUUUUGGAGUUUCAUCUUUAAUGAAUUAUAAAUGAAAGGGGGAGUAAUUCAAAAAGUCAAAUUGGCAACAUUUGAAUGAUAUAGGGGGAGACUUCACUCUUAUAUAUGAAAAGCU